UAAUUAAUAUCACAAUGUUUUUAUUGCAAUCAAAUCUUCUCAACUUAUGUCUGUCCUCACAGAACCUUUAGGCAUUUCACAAGAUAAUCCUUUAAUAACACAUUUAUUAUAUCCCUUUGAAAUCCUUAAUGAUGUCUUAAUGAUUAAGUGAUCAAUGUUAGAAACAAAAUUAUAUGAUAAUUUAUUUAUUUUUACCACCACCUAAGAAACUUGAAAGUGACUUUUUCAGUUUCAUGCCUCCUACUACUCAAUCAAAGGGUAUAGACACAGGUACAGUGCAGUACAUGAUGUUGACAUCUACUUGUCUGAGCCAUGUGAAGAGAUUUCAAUCAAUGCACUGGAAUAAUGGAAGUCAAAUUCAGUGUGCCGUUCUUCUUUGGCUAAUACAGCUAUCAAGUAUUUAGCCAUUUCCCACACAUAAGCUCCUGUAGAAAGGCUUUCAAGUAUUGCCGGAAAG
rnacentral:lncRNA from 1 species